AAUUCAAGCCACAUAAAAAUAACAGGUUGCAUCAUCUAAUUUUUGGCUAUGCACAGAUCCUUUCAGUUAGUUUCUUAACCUAGUUAAGCACAAUAUAGAUCAUUCAUUGGCAUCUGUCUUUUAAUAUACAUGGCUUGCAUCUUCUAUUCUACAUAAGUUAAUGUUAAAAAUUUAUGUACUUUUCAACUAUCUUUCUGGAAUUCAUUAUUAGUAUUAGUUUUCAUAGUGGUAGAAAUGAUGGGUCUUUCAGACAGUACUGUUACCCAUUACUUUUCUUGCAUGUGAAAGAAUUGGUCAUCGCAGUUAGUUGUAUAUACCAUAUAGACAUAAGGAGCAUAUAUCACAGCUUGAAAGUG
rnacentral:misc_RNA from 1 species